rnacentral:rRNA from 1 species
CACGUAGGGGGCAAGCGUUGUCCGGAUUUAUUGGGCGUAAAGAGCUCGUAGGUGGUUCGGUAAGUCGGGUGUGAAACCUCCAGGCUCAACCUGGAGACGCCACCCGAUACUGCUGUGACUGGAGUCCGGUAGGGGAGCGUGGAAUUCCUGGUGUAGCGGUGAAAUGCGCAGAUAUCAGGAGGAACACCGGUGGCGAAGGCGAGUCUCUGGACGACUCCUGACACUGAGACACGAAAGCUGGGGGAGCAAACAGG